AGAAUCAACGCUGGCGGCGUGCCUAACACAUGCAAGUCGAUCGAGAAAGUGGAGCAAUCCAUGAGUAAAGAGGCGCACGGGUGAGUAACACGUGACUAACCUACCCUCGAGUGGGGAAUAAACCUGGGGAAACCCGGGCUAAUACCGCAUAAUACCCACGGGUCAAAGGAGCAAUUCGCUUAAGGAGGGGGUCGCGGCCGAUUAGUUAGUUGGCGGGGUAAUGGCCCACCAAGACUAUGAUCGGUAU
rnacentral:rRNA from 1 species